GUUCCGUAGGUGAACCUGCGGAAGGAUCAUUCAUAAUAAAGUGUUCUAUGGCACUUUUUAAAAAUCCAUAUCCACCUUGUGUGCAAUGUUAGAUCUCGUCAAUCUUGGCGAGAUUUUUAUACAUCAACUCAUUCUUUAACUAAUUUGUCUGAAAAAUAUUAUGAAUACUUAAUUCAAAAUACAACUUUCAACAACGGAUCUCUUGGCUCUC
rnacentral:misc_RNA from 1 species